UCGAGAAUAAUUCGCAAUGGACGAAAGUCUGACGAUGCGACGCCGUGUGAACGAUGAAGGCCUUCGGGUUGUAAAGUUCUGUCGCCUGUGAACAAGGGUAUACGGUAAAUAAUCGUAUAUUUUGAGUGUAGCAGGAAAGGAAGCACCGGCUAACUCCGUGCCAGCAGCUGCGGUAAUACGGAGGGUGCAAGCGUUAGUCGGAAUUAUUGGGCGUAAAGGGUGCGUAGGCGGGAAUAUAAGUCAGAUGUGAAAAACCAAGGCUCAACCUUGGCAGUGCAUCUGAAACUGUAUUUCUUGAGGGAUAGCGGAGAAAACGGAAUUCCACGUGUAGCGGUGAAAUGCGUAGAUAUGUGGAAGAACACCUGUGGCGAAAGCGGUUUUCUAGCUUAAACCUGACGCUGAGGCACGAAAGCAAGGGGAGCAAACA
rnacentral:rRNA from 1 species